GGGGUGCUGUGCAUCCCUGCCAGGUCCAUAGAGAGGGAGAGCCGUCCUUGGGAGGCACAGGGCCAGAGGAGCAGGGAGGGCAAGGGGCCCGGCCAAGCAGCUGCCUGCAGCCAAGUGGCUGACGCUGCUCAAACCAGAGAGUUGUGAUGUUCUGGAUGCAUCCCACGUGGUUGAAGAAAGGCAGAUGGGCCUUUGACUGCAAUCGAUUCCUAUCUGCAAGUGCGUGGUUCCAGAAAGAAGUCAUUCUGCAUUUUAAUUUACCCUCCCUGGCUAUAAAAAACGCAAAUUGUGCAACAUGCUUCACUGGGACCAGAGAGCUCCAGACUGAUGAGACAGGCAAGAACAUGAAAACGAGGACAAGAGAAACCCUUUGCGUUCACUUCAACCCCUGUCAUCAGAGCCGCUCUGCUAAAAAGUGACCUAGAACUGCAGGUUAGGACCAAACUGUGGUUUCCAUAUUUAUAAGGGAAAAGCCUUUAUGAAGCAGGUACCAAGAUCUUGAACCUAUUAACUGGUUUUCCAUUGCCUUUCUGGGCUGGGUUGACAUUUCUGCCAUUAAAAGUGUUUUUUA